rnacentral:rRNA from 1 species
CCCCACUGCUAUUGGGAUGGGACUAAGACAUGUUAGUCGAGCGUCUCUAAGCUAUGAUGGAGACGCGGCGCACAGCUCAGUAACACGUGGCUAACCUGCUCUUGGGACAGGGAUAACCCCGGGAAACUGGGGCUAAUACUUGAUAGGUGAGAACUCCUGGAAUGGAUUCUCGCUGAAAGGGCGUCUAGAUCAUGCUUUUAGGCGUCGCCCAAGGAGGGGGCCGCGGCCGAUCAGGUUGUUGGUGAGGUAACGGCUCACCAAGCCUUUGACCGGUACGGGCCGUGAGAGCGGUAGCCCGGAGAUGGGUACUGAGACAAGGGCCCAGGCCCUACGGGGCGCAGCAGUCGCGAAAACUCACCAAUUCACGAAAGUGUGAGUGGGCCAUCCCGAGUGCCGUCCGCUGAGGAUGGCUUUUCCUUAGUGUACAAAGCUGGGGGAAUAAGGAGAGGGCAAGUCUGGUGUCAGCCGCCGCGGUAAUACCAGCUCUCCGAGUGGUGGGGAUGUUUAUUGGGCCUAAAGCAUUCGUAGCCUGCUGGGCAAGUCCUUCGUUAAAUCCAACGAUUCAAUCGUUGGGCCGCGGGGGAUACUGUUCGGCUAGGGGGCGGAAGAGGUCGACGGUAUUCUCGGGGUAGGGGUGAAAUCCUAUAAUCCCGGGAGGACCACCAGUGGCGAAGGCUGUCGGCUAGAACGCGCCCGACGGUGAGGGAUGAAAGCUGGGGGAGCGAACCGGAUUAGAUACCCGGGUAGUCCCAGCCGUAAACGAUGCAGGCUAGGUGUUGGCGCGGCUACGUGCCGCUCCAGUGCCGCAGGGAAGCCGUUAAGCCUGCCGCCUGGGAAGUACGGCCGCAAGGCUGAAACUUAAAGGAAUUGGCGGGGGAGCACCACAAGGGGUGAAGCUUGCGGUUU